rnacentral:lncRNA from 10 species
CUGCUAUUCAGCAAUAAAUACAAAAAACAUGUUUUUGAUACAUAUAUCAAUGUGGCUGAAUGUUGAAAUAAGUAUGUUGAAUAAAAAAGCCAGAUAAAAUGAUCACAUACUGUAUAAUUAGCUUUAUCACAAUUCUAGAAAAUACAUAAUAUUGACAAAGUAAUCGGUGGUUCCCUGCAUAUGUAAUUGGAGGAAGGGAUGUUUUAUAAUAGUGAUAGUGGCAGGAGGCAGACAAAUUCCUAGGCAGAUCAGGGUGGGUCCCUGGUGAAAUCCAACUUUCAAGCCAAAGCCUGAAAAGCCUGAAAACCGGGCUGCCAGUUCCAGGUAGAAUCCACAACCGGAAGUGAGAACUUCCUGAUGCCUUUCAGCCAAUCAAAUGGUUCUUCUUUCAGAGCCCACCCAUGGACCAAUCAGCAUGCACGUCCUUCAUUCUGAGCAUAUAAAAACCCCUGGACUCGGCCACAGCUGUCGACUACCAGGCUGCGUUAGGAGCUACCGUCUUCAGCUUUUUCUCGCUGCUGAGAGCUGUUUUGUUACUCAGUAAAACUCUUCUCCACCGUGCUCACCCUUCAGUUGACCGUGCAACUUCAUUCUUCCUGGACAUAAACCCGGGACCCACAGAACAGCGGGUGCAAAAAGGGCUGUAACGCUUUCCUGGCCGGAUCGCCAAGCUGCAGGUAAGAUGUGCCUGCUUCACCUACUGGCGUGAAUGUAAACUUUCUGAGACCUUCCCAGCCAUGUGGAACUUUUUACAGGUCCACAGCUGGAAGGAGCUUUCCUUGAUUCUCAAAUGAGACUUUGGACUUUGGACUUUUGAGUCGGUGCUGAAACAAGCCACGCUCUUCAUGCCUGUGUGUUUCCCGCACCCCUGGGAAGGCGAAGGGAAGGAGCUACAUUGUCAAGUGUGGUCCAGCAAGUAAGCAGGUCCUGAGCACCAAACAUAUCACAGGCACUCACUGCUUGGGCCCACCAGUCAACAGGAGCCUGCUAGAUACAGCCAUGUGCCACUCCAACCUCCCUGAGGGCAUGGCCUAUGCACUAUUUGAUUUUCAGCAUAUCAUCACGAACUCCACGGGCGUCAAGAAGCAAUGGGUGUGGAUGUAGAAGCAGCCCGGAUUGCAACUGUGGUGGUGUAUUCUUGAACUAUAUUGUUCUAUUGGUGGUUUCUAGCUUUCUUGCCUUUCUGACCAUGAUACGAGUAGCUCCCUUGAUGGGUUAGUUCUGAAGGUUCAGAGAGUCUCUCCUCAGGCCUACACAAGCUCACUACUGCUCACUUUAUGUGAUGUGGGCCUACACAAGCUCACUGCUGCUGUCUUUCUAACAUGUCUAUAUGUUCUUCAUUAACUCUAUUAGAUCACUUUCUGCUGAAAGAGAUCAGUGUGCUUUCUGUUUCCUGAACUCAACCUUGGGAAAAAUAAGCAUAAAAUAUGUAUACAACAAGUGAAGAACAUCAAAGCAGCCCUGAGAUGAAUUUUCUAGGUAGACCAUCAACUUCUUUGUCAUCAAAAGCCUCAAUUCAAGAGUGAUUCAAAUUAGUACUUUACUGAAAUUACUGAUCACUAUUUGUCACAUUACUUUAAGGCUGAUUAUGAAUAUUUGAAACUUCAUGUUAAGUGCCUCAAUACCAACAGACUACUGUACUUGUUUAAUUUAAAUUUGAAAGCUAUCAUAAUUUCAAUAAAGGAAACACAGUGUAAACAAUAAGGAGUAAGACAAGCAUAUUCAUAUAAAACAUUUAGUUGCUAUUUUUUACUAUUAAAUUAUAUGACAUAACACACCAGAAGUUGACAGUGAAAAAGUCACUUGGCCUGAAAAUACAUGAGUAUGCCAAGGAAGGAAAUGAUGUGCUAAGUUGCUCUAUUACCAAGGCUUACUGAUUUCUACUCAUUUUAUAUUUUAUCCACUCCCUCUAAUCUUCACCAUGAAAAAAAUAAUAGUAUAUGUUUUUAUAGAAUACAUUUGUAGUUACAGAUUUCGGAAUCAUAUAGAGUAAAAUGUGGAAUAUUUCUAUAAGUCUGGAUAACUCUAAGUCUUGAAAGAAUUCAACUAUGUAAAAAUCAAUGAUUUUAAAACAAACAUUGAAUACACUGAUUGGUAAAAAGCUGUAUAGUUAAAUUUACCUAUCUAAUUUAGGUAGUUGAGUAGCCACAUGUAUAUUUUGCUCUUGUUUACCAUGAAAAUUAGACAUUUCCAUUUUACAUAAAUUGAAAUAUAAGUGCACUUAUGCUAAAGUGUUUUAGAAAGCAAUUUAGAUACUUAAAAGACAACUGUAACAUAUAAAUACUAAAUAAUAUGUUACAAAAACUGUGAGAAUUUAUAAAAUAUUUUGCAUGGCAAUGAGAGAAUUAAAUACUGUUUUAGCAGUUAUAUUUGGUAUUUAUGCUACCUCCAAUUACAAGAAAGAUAGGAGGAAGACAUAAACCUGAAAUAAAAUAAGUGCACAAUAAUCUCUUAUGGUUAAAUAUUUACUGAAAUAAAUUUGUAAUUUCUUAAUACUGUAGUAUUAACUUUGUUCAAAUAGCCCACAAUUUAAAAAGAAUAGCAAGUGUAAACUUUCAUGCCAAUCAGUGGAAAAUUUGGAAUUAAGCUCAUUUUAAAUUCUGAUAUGUUUAUAUACAUGCAUAAUAAUAGAUAUAAAUACAUGUCAUGAUUUCUGCUAUAUCUAGUAAAGUGUCUUAGAUUGUUGCUGUCUUUUUAAUUUAAUUAUCACAUAAUAUCUGAUACUUGUCUAAUCAUCCUUCUGCAUUUUUAGAGGCUAAUAUUAAUAUAAUUGUGAACAGACAAAACAUAUACAUGUAUACUGAUGCACAUUCACACACACAUAUACAGAAACUCCUACAGUCCAAAGCCUUCAAAAGAAGAGCCCAUG